rnacentral:lncRNA from 8 species
AUGUUUGAACACAUCCAGCUCAUCAUACAGAGGAGAAAGCACAGUGAGGCGCUGCCCCUGUAUAAACAGGCUAUGAGAGUGUGUGAGGACAAUCUGGUACGCUCACACCCACAGGUCGGAGAGAUGCUGAAGAACCUAGCUGUACUCAGCUAUGUGGAGGAAAGCAGCAGAGCUCAACAAUCCAUGGAGAUCAAAGAGGCGGAGCAGUCUCUGGUUUGUGGAAGGCCCCGUGUCGACACUCGUCCAGUGGGGACAUGUUUAGCCUGCGAGGGCCCACACCUCUCCCACAUGCCCCCAGGUGACCCCUCCCUCUACUGCCCCUUCCAAGAACACAGGUGGUGGAUCUCAUUUUGCCUUUCAUUGAUCCUGUGUGUUCAUUUCCUCGUCUCCUAGAAAUGCAUUGGUGGAGAAGGUCAGAGGGAGGGAACUUGCAUAUUCUCCUCGAAUGCAUUUUCAGGAGGUGGAAAGGAUAGAGGACAUGAAGAAUCAAGGAAGUACAAUUGAAGGCCAUCCAUGGUUCACAAUCUGCAUUCCUGAGAAGAACAACAACCAUCACACUCUGAAUAGUUCGUUAUGCUGCUUUGAGAUGGAACAGUGUAGUGGUGUCGCCUGUCAAGAGUACUGUAGCUAACUUAUAAAAUAAGAAUUAUGCUUUAAUGUCUGUUCAAUGGCUAUAUUGUUAAGUGUUAAAAAAAUAAAUAUAUAUUAUAAAUGUAUGAUGUCAUGAU